GUAGGGGGCAAGCGUUAUCCGGAUUUACUGGGUGUAAAGGGAGCGUAGACGGCAUAACAAGUCUGAUGUGAAAGGCAUGGGCUCAACCCGUGGACUGCAUUGGAAACUGUUAAGCUGGAGUGCCGGAGAGGUAAGCGGAAUUCCUAGUGUAGCGGUGAAAUGCGUAGAUAUUAGGAGGAACACCAGUGGCGAAGGCGGCUUACUGGACGGUAACUGACGUUGAGGCUCGAAAGCGUGGGGAG
rnacentral:rRNA from 1 species